ACAGAGAGACAGUGCAGAUGGCUCCAGCUGCUGCCGCUAACACUCCAUAGAUCAAGUCCAGGGACCAGUGGCUUCAUUCUUCUGCCAUGAUGGGCACAGCAGUGUCGGACCAAACCGCUCAGAAUCAAGAUGUAGAACUCCCAGCUCCUUCUCCAGCACCACGUCUGCCUGUGUGCCAUCUGCCGUGAUGAUAAUGGACUAAACCUAUGAACUACACACUGGGGGAUCAUGCGAUGCUCUCAGCACUGGGCUCAGUCCCCGGCCACCAGUCCGUACACUCCUUUGCAAUUGGUUCUGUGAUGGCAGAACCCUUUAUCUGCCCUUUAUUGUUCACUGUGACCUCUGCGUUAUUUUCAAAAUAAACACCCCAUCUUUUCUCCAGCAACUUUCAUUGGCCCAAGAUGGAGGCAGGCUGUUUCAUCACGUGGAGGUCAGAGGACACCAUCUGGUAUCAGUUGUCACCAUCCACCUUGUUUGAGGAAAGAUCUCUGCUGCUGUACCUGGAAUAUCAGGCUGGCUGGGCUCUUUCAGGGAAUCCUCCUGUCUCUGCCUCCCAGCUUGCCACAGGAUCACAGACAUGCACUACUGUGUCUGGCUUCCCAUGGAUGCUCAGGAUUUGAGUUCCGGCCCCCAUGCUUAUGUGACAAGUGUUUUAUCCACUUAGCCACCCACUCAGCCUGGACCUUCUUCCUUGACUCUGGUUUGCCUUUUUCAACUAUGACCAUCACUGUGCUACCACGCUGCAGCAAGAAAUCUUGAAUAUCAGGAAAUGCUUUAAAAACUUUCAUCAUAGUGUACUCCUGUUAUAAUAUUGUUAUCAUUGCUGAUUUCAUACUGCACCUGAAUGCAUAUGUCACAUGUGUGUCUCUGUAAAAUAAAAAAUGUUUAUGGUGUCAGUACAAACCAUGGUGUCAGUUACCCACUGGGGAUCUUGGACAGUACCCUAAGGUAAGGGGAACCUCAUCUAAACCAGGCCUGUGGAGUGAAUCGAGGUGGUGGGGAUGGUACC